AUGAGAAUCGAUUGCGAAGAUGCAUUUGUUGUACCACAGGGAAAGUACUAUCUUGUUGAUGUUGGCUAUACCAAUGGACCUGGAUUUCUAUCUCCAUUCAGAUCCACUUGGUACCACUUGAAAGAGUGGGUGGCAAGUCAACAACAACCCCAAAAUGAAAGAGAGUUGUAUAACUUGCGCCAUGCUCGUGCUUGA
rnacentral:rRNA from 1 species